AUGUCCACCGCACCCUCCGAACUCGUCCUUUACAACCUCGUCACCGCCCAAACCCUAAACCCCAGCCCCUCCCCCGCCGCCGCCGCCGCCCCCCUCGCCGCCGACGGCUCCUCCGGCCCAGCCGCCGCCGCGCGCCGGGCGCGCCCGCGCCGGCCCUCGGACCGCCACGCCAAGGUCGCCGGCCGCGGCCGCCGGGUCCGCAUCCCGGCCAUGGUCGCCGCGCGCGUCUUCCAGCUCACCCGCGAGCUCGGCCACCGCACCGACGGCGAGACCAUCGAGUGGCUGCUCCGCCAGGCCGAGCCCUCCAUCAUCGCCGCCACCGGCACCGGCGUCACCCCGCAGGAGGCGCCCCCCGCCGCCGUCCCCGUCGCCGGCGCCCCGUUCGUGCAGGUGCCCUACUACACCGCGCUCCUCAUGCAGCCGCCCAGCGCCGACGAGCCGCCCCUCGCGUCCGCGCCGCCCGCCGGCGAGGAGAACAAGUAA
rnacentral:rRNA from 1 species